rnacentral:rRNA from 1 species
AUUGAACGCUGGCGGCAGGCUUAACACAUGCAAGUCGAGCGAGCGGCGGAAGGGUGAGUAAUGUCUGGGAAACUGCGUGAUGGAGUGGGAUAACUACUGGAAACGGUAGCUAAUACCGCAUAACAUCAGCUGUGCCCAUAUGGGAUUAGCUAGUAGGUGGGGUAAUGGCUCAACAAGGAGACGAUCCCUAGCUGGUCUGAGAGGAGGAGCAGCCACACGGGAACUGAGACAAGGUCCAGACUCCUACGUGAGGCAGCAGUGGGGAAUAUUGCACAAUGGGCGAAGGCCUGAUGAAGCCAUGCCGCGUGUGGGAAGAAGGCCUUCGGGUUGUAAAGCACUUUCAGCGAGGAGGCGUUACUCGCAGAAGAAGCACCGACUAACUCCGUGCCAGCAGCCGCGGUAAUAC